GGGAUGGCGGGGCUGGGCCGAUGUUAAUUGCUGUUAAUUGCACGGGUCUCAUUAGCAAAAAUUCCAGCUCUACCAGCGCUCCCCCAGAGGUGGGGUAGGGGAACGGGUCGGCCAUGAGGCAGCAGGGUGCCCAACAUGGCGUCCUGGGGUGCCUUGCAUGGCCAGCAGGUGGAGGGAGGCGAUGCUCCCCCUCUGCUCUGCCCUGUGAGGCCUCAUCUGCAGCCCUGCGUCCAGUUCUGGGCUGCCCAGCACAAAACAGACAGGGAGCUCUUGGGAACAGAGCAGCGCAGGGCCAGGAAGAUGGCGAGGGGCCUGGAGCAUCUGUGCUAUGGGGAGAGGCUGAGUGAGCUGGGUCUGUUCAGCAUGGAGAACAGGAGACUGAGAGGGGAGCUGAUCCAGGUCUGUGAAUAUCUGAGGUGUGGGGGCAGCACGGCGAGGAUGGACUCUGUUCAGUGGGGAGUGGAGACAGGAGGAGGGGAAACGGCCGGAAAUGGAGCACAGGAAGUUGGGCAGCACUGUGCGAAGGAACGGCUGUGCAGUGAGGGGAGGAGCGAUGGAACAGGGAGGGGGGGAGUCUGUGGGUCCCAACGUGUCUCUAUGGGUCCCAAUGGGUCUCUAUGGGUCCCAAUGUGUCUCUAUGGGUCCCAACGUGUCUCUGUGGGUCCCAAUGUGUCUCCAUGGGUCCCAACGUGUCUCUAUGGGUCCCAAUGUGUUUCUAUGGGUCUCAACUUGUCUCUAUGGGUCCCAAUGUGUCUCUAUGGGUCCCAACGUGUCUCUAUGGGUCCCAAUGGGUCCCAAUGUGUCUCUAUAGGUCCCAAUGUGUCUCUAUGACUCCCAAUGUGUCUCUAUGGGUCCCAAUGGGUCCCAAUGUGUCUCUAUAGGUCCCAAUGUGUCUCUAUGGGUCCCAAUGGGUCCCAAUGUGUCUCUGUGGGUCCCAAUGGGUCCCAAUGUGUCUCUAUGGGUCCCAAUGGGUCCCAAUGUGUCUCUAUAGGUCCCAAUGUGUCUCUAUGGGUCCCAAUGGGUCCCAAUGUGUCUCUGUGGGUCCCAAUGGGUUCCAAUGUGUCUCUAUGGGUCCCAAUGGGUCCCAAUGUGUCUCAACGUGUCCCUAUGGGUCCCAAUGUGUCCCUAUGGGUCUCAACAUAUCUCUAUGGGUCCCAAUGUGUCUCUAUGGGUCCCAGUGUGUCUCUAUGGGUCCCACUGCUCACUGGAACAGGCUGCCCAUGGAGGUGGUGGAGUCUCCUGCUCUGCAGAUGUUCCAGACCUGCCUGCAUGCCGAGCUGUGCGACUGCUGUAGGAACGGCUGGGCAGGGGGUUGGACUGCAUGAGCUCUGCAGCUCCCUUCCAAGCCCUGCCAUUCUGUGAUGCUGUGACUCGUGAGCUCGGGGCCGGGCUCUGAGCGAUGCUUCUCUUCCC